UUAUUAUUAUUGUUUUUAUUAUUUUCUGUAUUAUCCAGUUUGGGUUAAAUUUGAAUUUAAAGAAAACCAAAUGUCAUAGCAGAGAAGAAUUAGAAUCCAUACUUAUAGUGAAGCCGAACUUUUACGCACAGCCCCAUAAACACCCAAAUGACCGUAAGCAGGAAAUGAGGCGGAGUUUCAGCAGAGCGUGCUCUGAUGUCAACAGCUAAUGAGUCACCACAUCUAAGUAGACUUAAAAUGCGAUCGAAUUGUCUAAAAUUGGAUCUCUUUAUUUAUUAUUAUUUUUUACCUUUUCAUGCUACUUAAAAACAAAUCGCUAAAUUAUUCAUAAAUAUAAAAUAUUCAUAAAUAUCCAUUAUAAAUAAUACAUUAUAUAACAUCUUAUGUUAUACAAUAUACUUAUAAAUAGUACUUGAAAUAAAAUUACAUUACAAGCCAUUUAUUAGAAAAUGUUGCAAAAGCAAUAAACAUGCUAUUUUUAAUUUCUAUAGAGUUUAGAUAAUGGGUAUAAAAUCUUGGUGCAUCAUCUGCGCGGCAUCAUGACGCCUCCAUGUGGAGAAUAUUCAAGACACAGACGAGUUUUAGGAGAGAGGUUGAUUAUAGGGAUUGGUGAGACCGAGUGUAAUUUCGCUUGUCUUUUCAAUAGACAAACUCAACCGUCUCACCCAGACAGCCAAGAGCCUUAACAGCGACCUGUUGUUUGCACCUUACAUACCACAGUCAAGACAUGCAGAUUCCUGCAGAGAAUCCAGAACAUUGGUAGAAAAACUGAUCCCAGUGAUGGACUCUACAUACGGACAGUUCAUGAGCAGUAAACCAUGCACCUACAGAAAAGAUUUUCAGUGUCUUUCAGUUACUGUAUCAUUUAUGUGUUAGAAAUAAAAUACAUUUUCUAGUGAACUUCUGGGACUAGUGUCAUUUUUUCUUACUUAAAUGAAACUAAAAUAGGUUUUAAAACUCUCUGCAUUGGGAUAAUAGGAAUGAAAAUUGUGUCAUCUUUUAGUCCCUCUCAUGUAGUUUUAACCUGUAUGCAUUUAGAAC
rnacentral:lncRNA from 1 species